UUUUCAGUUAGUCUGCCUGAUGAACUGUUGGCUCGUAAUUAAGACCUUAAGGGGGAGGGGGUUAUGGAAAGAGUUAAAGCAGCUAUUUCUGUUUGUCUCUGUAAAGUUUUAUAGGACUGUGAUUCUUCAUAAUUAUAAACUCUUCUGAAUCUUUCCUGGGAAGAUGGGAAGCAAGGCAGAAAUGUGGUCUGCGUGAGGCACCUAAGCUCCUUCUGUGAUCAAGAGAGAGAAAAGAGGAUCUGAGAGAUGCACAAAGUACAUGACAUUAAUCUUCUGGAAGUGUCUUUGAGGUACAGCUCAAUAGGAUAUCUUGAUUUGCCACUGUAAUGGUUCAGAUAAGAGCAGGAUUGAAGGAACUAAAUUGGGAAAAUAGAUGUUGCAGUACAAGAAGAACCUGCUGCAGUGAGAGAUAAUGAGUAAAGCACUCUUGUACUGACCACGCUUUUAAAGGAAGAAGAGGAACACAGAGAAAAGGAGCCCUUUCUGCUAGACUACCUCUUCAAAUCAAAGAGUGUUACCACUUACUGUUCCUAAGUAUUCCUCAGCAAGAGCUGUCUGCUGGGAAAUGGCCCUAGCUUGCUUGGAAGCAUUUGUGACUCUGAGAUUGAAGUGACUUGGGAUUCAUUCUGGGGUUUUUGCAAGACUGAGCCCUUAUUUCUCCUUCUCUUUCUGGCUAAAUGCUAUCUUCACUGGGUGAAGUUCAAGGUAAGAGGUUGUUUUCUCAGUAUCUAAGUGGUACUGAGACCUGCACGCUAUAUCAUCUUUAAUAAAAUUUUAUUUUCAUAGAUAAUGAAACUAUGUAGAUAAAAUUAUUUUGCUUGUUUCUGUUCAGAAUCUUUGUACACAAUAGCUGCAAUCCGACUGGAAUUCCUUAUCUGCAGGAUUAACUUUUCUGAAAACUUUUAAGACAAGCCCUAAUAGACAGAUUUUACUUGUAUGUAUGUAUGUGUAUGUAUAUAUAUAUAAAUAUAUAUACACAUACAUAUAUAUAUAUAUAUACACUAUAUGCAUAAGUACUAAUUUCCACUCUGCCUCAUCCCAGUUUCCCCAAAGGGUCUUAUAUGACUGCUAUAGCAGGAUAAAAAGACAUCCAUAUCAGACAUCCAUAUCUGCUUCCAGUCUAGACCAGCAGAGUUCAGUAGCCAGUAUAUGGAGGCCUGGAAUUAGCCAAGACAGGAAAUUUCAAAGAUAGUCUGUCUGCAACAUUUAUUGGCCAGUCACCUGCUGAUAGAAGGUACAGCUGUUGCUGUGGUGUGAGCUUCCAGCUGCACAGGACAAGGUUUCCUCCUGAAGCUCUGCCACAUCUCCCUGACUCAGAACAUUUUGAUUUUUCGAGUUACCUAUGGAAUUCUGCCUUGUGAGAUGCAAAAUGAACAGGGGAAAUCACAAGAUGUGAUAGAAGUUCCCAUAGCGUCCAUUCUGAUUAACAGUGUGUUCCUGAAGGAUCCCCAGGAGUGGAGAAAGGCCCUUGUUAAAUGAGUCAACAGUUUCUGUGGAAAUGGAAAAUAACCACUCUCUGAAGCUUCCUUUAAAAAAAAACCCCAAAAAUAUUUAGGCUGAUUUUAUAAAUUAUGUUACAUUUGGUACAUUUUUCCAGACUGUAAACUUGAUGGCUUUCUAUACUAAUAAUGACUAGCAGUGUUGUUAGUCAAAUUCUUUUAAUGCAUUUGGGCAGAUUUAUUAGCUUAGCUUGUUAAAGAGACGUGGAUCACUCUAGUCCACUCGUGUACGUGACCACACUUAGCUAAUCACAUUUAGACAUCUUGUUGUCUUUUUGCAUGUAGUGCUGCU